rnacentral:rRNA from 1 species
UACGGAGAGUGCGGACGUUGUUCGGAUUCACUGGGCGUAAAGGGCACGUAGGCGGCUCAGCAAAUCAGUCGUGGAAUCCCGACGCUUACCGUCGGAACGGCGGCUGAAAAUACUGGGCUUGAGGGCGUGAGGGGUCACUGGAACUCCCGGUGAAGCGGUGAAAUGCGUAGAUAUCGGGAGGAACGCCGGAGGCGAAAGCGAGUGACUGGCGCGUUCCUGACGCUGAGGUGCGAAAGCUAGGGGAGCAAACAGG